CCCCGCAUCAGCCGCUCCUCCUCACCGUGGUGGCGUUAUCCUUGGCGGCGCCGGCGCCGGAGAUGGGAUCCUCACGUGGCCCAAAACUGCCGUGCGCUGCCCCGCCCUUUCAUCCCCUCCCUCAGCGCCGCCAGCUCUCGCACCAUCUCCUCCCCGACGACCGGGCUAGGGUUUUGCUCCAGGGCGACGCCAUUGUGCGCUGCUCCAGGGCUCGCUCCCCACACGCACGACCCCCCCCCCCCCCCCCCCCCCCCCCCCACCGCUGCGGCCUCGCCGGUGCCACAGGUACGAAUCCCCUUCGCCCGCCCCCAAGACCUCCCGGGUCGCCCUCCUCAUAGCUCGCUGCGGCCUCGUUGGCGCCACAAGCACGAACCCCCUUCGCCCGCUCCCGGAUCCGCAAGUCUCGCUGGCGUGACUUCGCCCAUGCCCACGCUCGUGCUCGCGCCAGGGCGAUGCCAGGGCCUCGGCUGGCCGUCUUGCUGCGGCAGCUGUGGCACUACCUGCCAUGGGUGCCACAGCUCCUCCCCGCUGGUCUCCCCGCCCCGCCAGGCGCUUCCAUCCCCUCCCGGCCGGGCACUCCCCUCCCCGCCGAGCGCUCCUCUCCUGCCCCGGUGUCUGCUCCCGCCGGCCACCGGCCAGGCCAAAGAUUGUCGAACAAGAAGAAGGACAGAAAAUGGCAUAUCAAAACAACAAGUGAGAAAGCACAAUUGGUUACGCAGAGCUGGUAAUUGGAAAGAUGAUUACAAUAAGAAUAAGAAGCUUGUUGUAGCAGCAGAUUGUGCUGGUGCCCUUGAUGUCAUCGAUGAUUUGCAAAAUUUACUAGAUACUGAUGAACUUGCUGGGCUUUACUGCUUUCGCCAUAUUCGAGAUCAGCUGGGAACGUCACUAGAUUCAGUGAACAGGGUAACAUAGAUGAGGAAGGAAGUUUUACUCUCAGAGAUCGUCUCCUCCCCCUCAUUAUUUGCCUGCUGAGAACGGGCUGAUGUAUUGAGAGAAAACACUGAAGCAGUUUUCGCUGCAUGUGAUGCUGCUCAUGGGCGCUGGGCUAAGCUCCUAGGUGUCCGUGCUGCUCUACAUCCCAGAUUAAGGCUUCAGGAAUUCUUGAUCAUCUACAAUAUCACAGAAGAAUUUAUAGCUGCUACUGAAAAGGUUAUUUCUUUUUCCUGUUUGAAAUAUAAUGCACCCAUGCAAAUAUAAUGCAUAACAUAAAGGAGAAAAAGUAACUAGGAAAAAAUCAUUACUUGUAGUUUAUCACUCGCCAUGGUUAGCCGAUGGCCAGAUGAUGCUCAUCACUUCGUAGCGGUUAAGUUCGGUAGCAUUUAACUUAUCCUUCUUCUUGCGUAGAUUCUCGUAGUUUUUCUUCAAGUUCCGUAUUUUGCUUCUAAUUCUUUCCUUAUCAACAUAUUUUCGCGGAAGGAUAGAUUGAAACAGGUCUACUAGUUCAUUAGAACGUGGCAACCUAUGGUUUUUCCCCCUAUACUCGAUAAGGACCUCCACAAUCUUUUUCUCCACAUCCUCUGGCCACUUUCUUACCCUACUACCUGAGUUUGUAGCUGCAGUGUACCUUGUGGAGGAGCAGGUAGUUGUGGUGUACCUUGUGGAGGAGGAUCCUGUUGUGACGAGAGAGGAUGAUAGGGGCUGCGAGUUUGAUAACCACGAAAACAUGUGUGCACAUGGAUCACAUCCUUGUGCAGCUUCAGCUAUAUGCUCUGCAAUGAAGCCGCUUUGGAACAUAUAAAAUAAAAAAUGAUUAUUAUUACAAUACGGAAAAGUGACAAAUACUUCUAAAUGGCUUCUAAAGUUCAUGAUCAAAUUUGAAAGGAACCUUGGUCUGACAACGUUAUCAUACACCUUGAUAAGGUCCGACAACUCCCGUUUGCACUGAGGACAAACAUCGAUCUUCACAGUGGAGGGGAAGGUAGUGAGGGGAGAAGGAAAAAAUAGGAGGAGAGUAAUGUUCAGAAAUGUUGAGAUACAUUACCAGCUACUUGCUUGGUGUGACGGAGGCUCCUUCCGGUGUGGUGGAGGCUGGAGGUGGAGGCUGGAAGAGACGCUUCGAGGGCGGCCGAAGCAAGGCUCGCGGUCAAGUAAAUGGCUCCCGAGGGACGCGCCCCGACAAUGGUGUGUUAUGUGAAGAUGGAAAGUUUGAUGGGGAAUCCCUGUCCUAUCCCUCCGAUGGACGUCCCAGUGCCCUUUUAUACCUCAAGGGAGUGGGGGGAGGAAGACGGGGGCCUCGGUCCGCCCGGGGCCCGGAGCGGCGUCAAACUGCCCUUGUGCGUUGCGCAGGAGCAAACAGAUAUCUUCUGUCUCCGUUCUCUCUCCUCCUCGCUACAGUGCUUUCCAUGGCAGGAAGAUUCUUGGUUUGGGGAGAUGGCGAGACAUGACAUCUCAGAGCUAGCCCUGCUACAAGAAAAAGGAGUGUAGGGGGAGGUGACAGAUAGAAAGACAAGCUUGCAAAAAGUAGAGACAUGCAUUGAGCUAGCAACAGAUAUGCAUUAGUUUAUAGCACUGUGAAUAACAAUAAAAUACACAUUACAUGCCCUCAAAAACAUUUGUUGUGAUAAAAAGAAAGUACUAGCUAGUAUAUAUAUGAGCCAACAUCGUCAUAAUUAAAGUGGCAAGUCAAAAAAACAAGAAAUUAAUAGCUUCUUUGGACAAUACAAACUUGCAAAUCCCCUUGAAAUUAAGAUCUACCACUACACCAGUAGCUUCAAAGCUCACGGACUGCGCGCAUGGUAGAUGUGUGGCGUGAACACACUGCCCUGGAGCCAUUCAGGCCGUGUUUAGCUCGCGCGAUUUCCCAUUGUAGCUCGAAACUAUUUGAUCCACAGUGCAACGCCAAUCUAAACGCCUCGCAAACUAGUUGGCGCUACAGCAGUCGUGAACAAUGAUGAACGGUACAGACGCGCCACUGCGUAAGACCAAGAUCAGUGGAACGGGUAAAUGGACCGGUAUAGCUAUUUUAGAAGUCCGAUUUGACAGCGGGUAUAUGUAUAUGUGAGGGGAGUUAGUAUAAAUUGCGGAAAACGAGGACGGGUAAAAUAGUUUUGCUUUUUCCACUAGUCUUAGUCUAACGCUAUACUCUCGCAGCUUUUAACUGUAUUGCACUAUUCAUCAACCGUUUACCGUGUUCACACUACUAUUCAUCAACCUUUUACCGCGUUCACACUGCUGUUCACUACUUUCACCGUGUUUCUCCAACCAGCACACAUACAUGCUACAGUGUUCUGUUGGCAAGUAGUUGAGCCGAACUAAACGCCCCAGCAACAAUUUAGCGCCUACAACUUUCGCGCACUGUUGAUGAACAGGGACUUUUUGCAACUACAGUGGGAAUUUGCAAGUUGACGUCCCAAACUAAACGCAGCCUUACUUUACUGUCUUAGAGUGUCAAAUAAAAGCACUAAAGACUACUCGCAUCAAACUUGUUUUAAGGGGGAGCUUUAUAGGGAGCCAUCCUAAAGCUCCCUUCAUACAGAGGGGGAGUUGAAUCUCCCCCCAUAUAUGGAGGGAGAUUACAACUCCCCCUAUACGCUAAUCACGCUAUUUGUUUAUGAUAAAAAAUUUAUUUGAAUUCCGUAACAUAAUAAUAAUAUGUAUUAUGGUAGUAUAAAUACAGUAUAAUUUUUUUAAAAUUUAAAAAUGAUAAAUAGAUAGUUAAUGAAUGAGGUACAGUGUAUAGGGGGAAUGAAUUUGGGGGGAAUGGUUGGAGAUGAUGAUUUAUAGGGGGAGGAAUCUUUUGGAGUGAGGUAGUAAAAUAUAGUAAAAAGUAUAUAUAAGGAAAGUUGGAUGGGGAGAAUGGUUGGAGAUAGCCUAAGGUUGAGCAGCGGACGGUCUGCACAGCUUUGACGAAGAGUCACGACGGUCCGCCCCUCCCCCGGUCGCAGUAGCAGCAGAGGCGCGCAUGACAGGACUCGUCGCAGCAACUGCAGAGGAUGCUGCCUAGUCCAGGACUAGGCGCGGCGCUUGUUUUACCGUGCACUAGAGGGAGAGACUGCAGCCGCAGACGCUUGGUGUGCACCAUGAAUGCGACGAGCAGGCAGGGCUACGGGCUGCCCCCACACGCGCCGGCGGCCUAGGCUGCACGCAGCAGGUGCUCCUGCUUGAGAUUUAGAGAUAAGGGUAAAGUCUGAUGGCAAGCCUAGACUGAUGAAUGCUGCUUUGUAUACAUGCGUGUUCACUGUUGCGCAUGCCUCUCCAGUCGUGCUCCCUAUGCAGAGGGCCUCACGGGUCACGCCUCAGGCAGCUAGUGAACGCCCGCCACAUGUCUCGCAUGCCGUUGCCCGACCAUAGCCAUAGCGUGGCCUGGUACCACAAGCCAUCUCGGCUCUGUCGCCGCGAAGAGGCAGACGAUAGUAGGUAAUAGUAUACUCUAUACACGCAGAUAAUACAUGAACGAGACAAAAACUCUUGCGGCAGCAGGACGUGCAGAGUAUAGUAGAAAGACAGCGGAAGCAAGCGGUAUGGACCGAGUUGUCUCCGGGCCGACGUUUCCAAACCCUCUCAUCCUCUCUGCAUCGCCCAGAGGUCAACAUCUGUCUUCUUUCCAUUAAUCAACCAAGCAAUCCUACUCGAUCCGCCCUUGAGGCCUUGAACAAAGCACGCACGUCCUUGAGGUCUUGAACAAAGCACACACGUUUCUGUGCUAGAUUUUACAUGCAUUAAACCGGGUAGGUUUAAAAAAAUUGUAGAUGUGAGGGGUUUUUUCCCUAACCCUGUAAGAAAAAUACAACAUUACUUCCGGAAUGAAGCUAGGAUAGGCAGCAAUUUGUGUCUCUUCAGUUCAUGUCUUUAAGGCAGCAAUUUGUGUGCACUUCUAAUAUUGGACAUGUAUUAUUUGUAAUAAAAAUGUGUAUUAUGGACUUGGUAUUGUAUAAUAAUUUGAACUAGAGCUUGUAUUAUGGAUUUGGUAUUGUAUUAUUGACUAUGGAUUGGACUAUGAUUGUGACAUACAUUUGCUUAUUAUUAAUCCUCUAUAUGAAUGUGUGUCAAAUAUAAAUUAUGCAUUUUCAACUGUCAUAUACGCAGAAUUAGACACAGCCAUGCCAAAAAUUUUCAUUUUCCACACAUGAAAUAAUCUUGCGGUUUACAACGAGUGUGUGCGAGGGGGUUUUCUUUAUAGCCCCCGCGAGCUGUAGUGGUGGAUCAAGUUAACCGCUCCUGCUGUUCAUCCACCGCUCCUGCAGUAGAUAAGGCCAUUUACUUGACCGCGAGCCUUGCUUCGGCCGCCCUCGAAGCGUCUCCUCCAGCCUCCACCUCCAGCCUCCACCACACCAGAAGGAGCCUCCGUCACACCAAGCAAGCAGCUGGUAAUGUAUCUCAACAUUUCUGAACAUUACUCUCCUAUUUUUUUCUUCUCCCCUCACUACCUUCCCCUCCACUGUGAAGAUGGAUGUUUGUCCUCAGUGCAAACGGGAGUUGUCGGACCUUAUCAAGGUGUAUGAUAACGUUGUCAGACCAAGGUUCCUUUCAAAUUUGAUCAUGAACUUUAGAAGCCAUUUAGAAGUAUUUAUCACUUUUCCGUAUUGUAAUAAUAAUCAUUUUUUAUUUUAUAUGUUCCAAAGCGGCUUCAUUGCAGAGCAUAUAGCUGAAGCUGCACAAGGAUGUGAUCCAUGUGCACACAUGUUUUCGUGGUUAUCAAACUCGCAGCCCCUAUCAUCCUCUCUCGUCACAACAGGAUCCUCCUCCACAAGGUACACCACAACUACCUGCUCCUCCACAAGGUACACUGCAGCUACAAACUCAGGUAGUAGGGUAAGAAAGUGGCCAGAGGAUGUGGAGAAAAAGAUUGUGGAGGUCCUUAUCGAGUAUAGGGGGAAAAACCAUAGGUUGCCACGUUCUAAUGAACUAGUAGACCUGUUUCAAUCUAUCCUUCCGCGAAAAUAUGUUGAUAAGGAAAGAAUUAGAAGCAAAAUACGGAACUUGAAGAAAAACUACGAGAAUCUACGCAAGAAGAAGGAUAAGUUAAAUGCUACCGAACUUAACCGCUACGAAGUGAUGAGCAUCAUCUGGCCAUCGGCUAACCAUGGCGAGUGAUAAACUACAAGUAAUGAUUUUUUCCUAGUUACUUUUUCUCCUUUAUGUUAUGCAUUAUAUUUGCAUGGGUGCAUUAUAUUUCAAACAGGAAAAAGAAAUAACCUUUUCAGUAGCAGCUAUAAAUUCUUCUGUGAUAUUGUAGAUGAUCAAGAAUUCCUGAAGCCUUAAUCUGGGAUGUAGAGCAGCACGGACAUCUAGGAGCUUAGCCCAGCGCCCAUGAGCAGCAUCACAUGCAGCGAAAACUGCUUCAGUGUUUUCUCUCAAUACAUCAGCCCUGUACCAAUGUAAAUGGUCAUGCACCUUCUUUUGUAUGGUAUGAUAUAAAUAGUUCGCAUAUACAAUGAGCAAAAGCUUGACAGUGACUCUAUGUGCUAUUAUAUUAUGAGAAAUGACCACAUGCGUACCAUGACACCAGAAAUAAACUUAGUUUGCAUCUUUGUAUGGAAUAGAUAAGAGGGCACAUUGCAAAAUAAGAAAAACUUAUCGGACAUUCUUUAUUGAA